rnacentral:rRNA from 1 species
AGAACGAACGCUGGCGGCAGGCUUAACACAUGCAAGUCGAACGCAUCGCAAGAUGAGUGGCAGACGGGUGAGUAACGCGUGGGAAUCUACCCAAUUCUUCGGAACAACUGAGGGAAACUUCAGCUAAUACCGGAUGUGCCCUUCGGGGGAAAGAUUUAUCGGAAUUGGAUGAGCCCGCGUUGGAUUAGCUAGUUGGUGGGGUAAAGGCCUACCAAGGCGACGAUCCAUAGCUGGUCUGAGAGGAUGAUCAGCCACACUGGGACUGAGACACGGCCCAGACUCCUACGGGAGGCAGCAGUGGGGAAUAUUGGACAAUGGGCGCAAGCCUGAUCCAGCCAUGCCGCGUGUGUGAUGAAGGUCUUAGGAUUGUAAAGCACUUUCACCGGAGAAGAUAAUGACGGUAUCCGGAGAAGAACGCCCCGGCUAACUUCGUGCCAGCAGCCGC